rnacentral:lncRNA from 10 species
UCUCCUUUAUCAAGGAACUGGACUUCAUUCUCCUGCAAAAGCUGCUUGAUCUUGACCUGUUGCUGUUUGACCCGGGUCUCAAGCAGGCGCACCUGGGCUCUGAGCCGCAUCUGCUCCUGGGCACAGUCCUCGAGCGCCUGCAAAACAGUUCCCAUUUCAGAAUAUUAUUCCAAAGAGAAAGUGGCUUGAAAAGUUCUAAUACUGCCUACUAUUUGAAGAAUUGGAAAUUAUGGCUUAUGCGAAAACUCCUGGACUCAAAAGAUCAAAUAAUAUAAAAUAAUUGGAAUCGCUAUGCUAGGAGCUUUAUAGUUGUCUCCUUUGAUCCUCAUAACAAUUCCAUGCGGUAGGAAAGGGCUCAGUCUUGAUGCCCAGUGGGUAAGCGGAGGUGGGAUUCAAAUUCAGUUCAAGGACUGUGCUCUCAAUCUCUAUAUGACAUUGCUUAUGUGUUUUCUAAACAGUAAUGUGGUUUAUAGAAGUUAAUUGUACUGUUGGCAUGUAAAUCUCCAUAAUAAAUGAGGUUUUUGAAUGG